AUUGAACGCUGGCGGCAUGCUUUACACAUGCAAGUCGAACGGUAACAGGUUAAGCUGACGAGUGGCGAACGGGUGAGUAAUGCAUCGGAACGUGCCCGGUCGUGGGGGAUAACGCAGCGAAAGCUGCGCUAAUACCGCAUACUAUCGGAGGAUGAAAACGGGGGACCGUAAGGUCUCGCGCGAUCGGAGCGGUCUAUGUCAGAUUAGGUAGUUGGUGAGGUAAAGGCUCACCAAGCCAACGACCUGUAGCUGGUCUGAGAGGACGACCAGCCCCACUGGGACUGAGACACGGCCCAGACUCCUACGGGAGGCAGCAGUGGGGAAUUUUGGACAAUGGGCGAAAGCUCGAUCCAGCAAUGCCGCGUGCAGGAAGAAGGCCUUCGGGUUGUAAACUGCUUUUGUACGGAGCGAAAAGGCUCUCUCUAAUACAGGGGGCUCAUGACGGUACCGUAAGAAUAAGCACCGGCUAACUACGUGCCAGCAGCCGCAGUAA
rnacentral:rRNA from 1 species